UCUUGUUUCUAACUUGCAGGUUGGAUAGGAAAAAGCAGUGGAAGAUCAAGGAUUGGGCCAGCCAUCACAGGAAGUAUGUCGUGCAGUUCGCUCUUAGUGUGGAGCAAGCAAGGGCUGGAAAACGAGCCCAGCUUCGUGAGCACUGCCCGGAUGCGUUCAACAACUAUCUCACAUGGUUUCUUGCAAGUAACCGUGUGGAGGUAUGCCAGCCGGCGUAUGCUGAGGAGAUUCUGGAGGAACCUACCGUUUUUGAUGAGGUAGCCUAGCACCAGUACAACGCAUUAGUCAGGAAAGGCAACUCGGUCAUCCCUUCAGCUCCAAUGAUGAACUUUGUGCGUGCCCAGAUCAAGAAAGCAGCUGACGAGACCGAGACUAUUCUGGAAACAACCCCGGCUGGCAAAAGCGAUGGGGAAGGUGCACUUCGAGAAUUCAUUAAGCGCCAGGGCCAAAAGUUAAGGCGGCUAUCAAACCUUUUCGGUUGUCGUGACCCCGAGUAUGUAUCACCUGAACGGUCUAGGUCGGCGACACCAUCAGAUCCCGCUUCGGGGCAGAGACAUGGUGAACCUUUCACGGAUGAGGAUGUGGGUGGGGUCACCCAAGAGGUAUGGCAUGACGAUAUAUAUCCAUUUGUUGAUGCAUUGCUAACUAUAUCC